ACAGGAAUUUGGCCACUGCACUCUUUCAGAUAAGUUUGGUGCUGUGGCCAAAUUCCUGUAA
rnacentral:pre_miRNA from 1 species